rnacentral:rRNA from 1 species
GACGAACGCUGGCGGCGUGCUUAACACAUGCAAGUCGAGCGAUGAAACACCUUCGGGUGUGAAUUAGCGGCGAACGGGUGAGGAACACGUGAGAAAUCUGCCUUCAACACUGGGAUAACUCCGGGAAACCGGGGCUAAUACCGGAUAUGAAUCUGCGGGCAUCCGCGGAUUUGGAAAGUUUUUCGGUUGAAGAUGAUCUCGCGGCCUAUCAGCUUGUUGGUGAGGUAAUGGCUCACCAAGGCGACGACGGGUAGCCGGCCUGAGAGGGCGACCGGCCACACUGGGACUGAGACACGGCCCAGACUCCUACGGGAGGCAGCAGUGGGGAAUAUUGGGCAAUGGAGGAAACUCUGACCCAGCGACGCCGCGUGCGGGAUGAAGGCCUUCGGGUUGUAAACCGCUUUCAGCAGGGAAGAAGCGAAAGUGACGGUACCUGCAGAAGAAGCACCGGCUAACUAUGUGCCAGCAGCCGCGGUAAUACAUAGGGUGCAAGCGUUGUCCGGAAUUAUUGGGCGUAAAGAGCUCGUAGGUGGUUCGUCACGUCGGAUGUGAAACUCUGGGGCUUAACCCCAGACCUGCAUUCGAUACGGGCGAGCUUGAGUAUGGUAGGGGAGUCUGGAAUUCCUGGUGUAGCGGUGGAAUGCGCAGAUAUCAGGAGGAACACCAAUGGCGAAGGCAGGACUCUGGGCCAUUACUGACACUGAGGAGCGAAAGCGUGGGGAGCGAACAGGAUUAGAUACCCUGGUAGUCCACGCCGUAAACGGUGGGCACUAGUUGUGGGGACCUUCCACGGUCUCUGCGACGCAGCUAACGCAUUAAGUGCCCCGCCUGGGGAGUA